ACUGGCUGAAAUACUUCCUGUGAUAUGUCCUUGGUUUCUCCUGAAGAAAAAAAAGUCCAAUCUGUUUUUUUUUUUUCUAAUUAUAAUAGCGAUGCACGUUCACCGCUGAAAAAUUUGGAAAGUACAAAGAAGGAAAUAAAAAUCACCCGCAAUUUCACACCCCAGAUCUGUGACUGUGAACAUUUGGGUGUGUCUCCUCCUGGGUGUCGGACCACUUCUUAUUCUCAGAAUUCUAUGGGGUGGCUCCGGGGCAGUGUGACACCUCUGUCCAGGCCCCAGCGAGGGGUAGAGUGAGUGCUGGACAGGGGUCCCCAAACGGGCCACUUUUGCUGCAUGUGUGGAGACAGAUAGGACUUCAAGACUCAGUCCUCGCCACCUGCAGAAGGCCCUCCCAAGGUCCCUACCUAGGAUGAGCACAGUGAUGCUGAAAAGAAAACCUUCCAUUCCUGGAGGCGCUGAACCAGGCCCUGCACUAGGAGCUUGGCGCGCGGCCGGACCCAGGCGCCCAGUGUCACCCCGUGUGCCAGAAACUGCCUCCUGCUGCCACCCAAGGGGCAGGGGCUGGCAAUUGUGGAAAACACAGGAGUCACAGUCCACCUUUCGGAGGUUGGCCAAGAUGUCUCCAGAGGAAAAGACAUUAAAGAGGUUGGCCAAGAUUCCUCCAGAGGAAAAGACAUUAAAGAGGUUGGCCAAGAUUCCUCCAGAGGAGAAGACAUUAAAGAGUGCUCUCCCCACAGGAACGAGACCUGCGUGGUGUGGGGAGCAGCUGAAGACUUCUCAUCUGCCUUUGUGAAUGCCAAUUGUACACAGCCACUACUGGAAUCUUACUCAUCGCAGCAGGAGGCCUGGCUUCCGGCACAGGUGGAAUGAAUGAAGGAAGGAACGGAUGAAUGAAAACAAUGAAGCUGUACAGAGCAGUCUGUCUCCGAGUGGGCAGUGGAUCCUGGAAAACACAUCUUCAGCCAUCCAGAGUGGGAAGAUCUGGAUUUGGGAUGUAGCCGCUUCCUCCCUGUGUGACCUUUGGCAGAUGUCAUUUACUUUUUGGAACUUCAGUUUUUCCAUCCGCAAAAAGGGGAUGCUGCCUGCCCAGUUCAUGUCACAGACCUGUGAAGGUCAAAACAGAAGGCAGGAGGGAGCAUAUUCCAUAAAAGGUACAGCAGCCGGGCAGAGUGGCCCAUGCCUGGAAUCCCAGCCAAGGCAGGAGGAUUGCUGGAGACCAGAAGUUUGAGAC